rnacentral:misc_RNA from 1 species
AACUUUUUACAAUGGAGCUCUUGGCUCUCGCAUCGAUGAAGAACGCAGCGAAAUGCGAUAAGUAAUGUGAAUUGCAGAAUUCAGUGAAUCAUCGAAUCUUUGAACGCACCUUGCGCCCUCUGGUAUUCCGGAGGGCAUGCCUGUUUGAGUGUCAUGUAGACUCAAUCCCUCGGGUUUCCGAGGAGAUUGGACUUGGGUGUUGCCGCUCUGCCGGCUCGCCUUAAAAGACUUAGCGGGAUAGCACCGUAGUCGGCGUAAUAAGUUUCGUCGGUGAAGGUUGUGUUGACUGCUUACAAUCGCCCUCGGGCAAUUUUUGACUCUGACCUCAAAUCAGGUAGGACUACCCGCUGAACUUAAGCAUAUCAAUAAGCGGAGGGU